rnacentral:rRNA from 1 species
AGAGUUUGAUCCUGGCUCAGAAUGAACGCUGGCGGCAUGCCUAACACAUGCAAGUCGAACGAGACCUUCGGGUCUAGUGGCGCACGGGUGCGUAACGCGUGGGAAUCUGCCCCUUGGUUCGGAAUAACAGUUGGAAACGACUGCUAAUACCGGAUGAUGACGUAAGUCCAAAGAUUUAUCGCCGAGGGAUGAGCCCGCGUAGGAUUAGGUAGUUGGUGUGGUAAAGGCGCACCAAGCCGACGAUCCUUAGCUGGUCUGAGAGGAUGAUCAGCCACACUGGGACUGAGACACGGCCCAGACUCCUACGGGAGGCAGCAGUGGGGAAUAUUGGACAAUGGGCGAAAGCCUGAUCCAGCAAUGCCGCGUGAGUGAUGAAGGCCUUAGGGUUGUAAAGCUCUUUUACCCGGGAUGAUAAUGACAGUACCGGGAGAAUAAGCUCCGGCUAACUCCGUGCCAGCAGCCGCGGUAAUACGGAGGGAGCUAGCGUUAUUCGGAAUUACUGGGCGUAAAGCGCACGUAGGCGGCUUUGUAAGUAAGAGGUGAAAGCCCAGAGCUCAACUCUGGAAUUGCCUUUUAGACUGCAUCGCUUGAAUCAUGGAGAGGUCAGUGGAAUUCCGAGUGUAGAGGUGAAAUUCGUAGAUAUUCGGAAGAACACCAGUGGCGAAGGCGGCUGACUGGACAUGUAUUGACGCUGAGGUGCGAAAGCGUGGGGAGCAACAGGAUUAGAUACCCNNGUAGUCC